ACAUUUAUUGUAUGUUAACGGUGUAUGGU
rnacentral:piRNA from 1 species